AACGAACGCUGGCGGCAUGCCUAACACAUGCAAGUCGAACGAGACCGUCGGGUGUAGGGGCGAACGGGAGGGGAAGGCGAGGGAAGCGUCACGUGGGGGGGGAAUAACUCUCAGAAAGGGACGCUAAUACGGGAUAAUGGCUACGGACGAAUGAUUUAUCGACUCUGGAGGGGCCCGCGUUAGAUUAGCUAGUUGGUAAGGUAAAAGCCAACCAAGGCGACGCUCCAUAGCUGGUCUGAGAGCAGGACCAGCACCCCUGGGACUGAGACACGUCCCAGACGCCUACGGGUGGCAGCAGUGGGGAACAUUGGACGCUGGGCGAGAGCCUGAUCUAGCAAUGUCGCGUGACUGAUGAAGUCGUUAGGGUUGUAAAGCUCUUUUACCCGGGAUGAUAAUGACAGUACCGGGCGAAUAAGCUCCGGCUAACUCCGUG
rnacentral:rRNA from 1 species